rnacentral:rRNA from 1 species
CGAAAGACGAGUCAGCAAGGCGGGAUCCAGAGUACCACGAGACACGAGAAACCUUGUGGGAAUGAGCGGGGACCACCCCGUAAGGCUAAAUACUCCUUAGUGACCGAUAGCGCAUAGUACUGUGAAGGAAAGGUGAAAAGGACCCCGGGAGGGGAGUGAAAGAGAACCUGAAACCCUGUGUUUACAAGCUGUGGAACAUCUAUAUAUGAUGAACCGCGUACUUUUUGUAGAACGGUCCGGCGAGUUACGCCAUCUGGCGAGGUUAAGUUCUUAAGGAAUGGAGCCGAAGUGAAAACAAGUCUUAACAGGGCGUUAAGUCAGAUGGAGUAGACCCGAAACCGGGUGAUCUAUCCAUGUCCAGGAUGAAGUUGCCGUAAAAGGCAAUGGAGGUCCGAACCCACAUCCGUUGAAAAGGGUGGGGAUGAGGUGUGGAUAGGGGAGAAAUUCCAAUCGAACCCGGAGAUAGCUGGUUCUCCUCGAAAUAGCUUUAGGGCUAGCCUCAUGAGAGUCUUUUGGAGGUAGAGCACUGAAUUCCCGCGGGGGCGUCAAAGCUUACCAAAGGAUAUCAAACUCCGAAUGCCAGUAAGAUGAUUCAUGGGAGUCAGACUGCACGAGAUAAGUUGGGCAGUCAAAAGGGAAAGAGCCCAGACCUGCAGCUAAGGUCCCAAAAUGUGUGUUAAGUGGAAAAGGAUGUGGGAUUUCAAAGACAACCAGGAUGUUGGCUUAGAAGCAGCCAUACAUUAAAAGAGUGCGUAAUAGCUCACUGGUCGAGAGGUCCUGCGCCGAAAAUGUCCGGGGCUGAAACACACUACCGAAGCUCAGGAAUUAACGUAGUUAAUUGGUAGAGGAGCAUUCUUAAAGGGAAGAAGCAGUACCGGAAGGAGCUGUGGACUUUUAAGAAGAGAGAAUGCCGGAAUGAGUAGCGAGAGGAAGGUGAGAAUCCUUCCGGCCGAAUACCCAAGGUUUCCAGAGUAAAGCUGAUCUGCUCUGGGUAAGUCGGGGCCUAAGGUGAGGUCGAAAGACGUAGCCGAUGGACAACAGGUUGAAAUUCCUGUACUGCAGUAUAACAGAACUGUGGGGACGCAGAGGGAGAGCACUAGCGGGAAUGGAAUCCCGCGGCAAGCGAGGUAGGAGUCGCGCUGGCAAAUCCGCGUGACAAUCCGAAGACGUGAUGCAUACCGAACUGAAGUAGGGAAAUGUGUGAGCCAGCUGCCAAGAAAAGCCGCUAUUGUUUGUACUGUACCCGUACCGUAAACCGACACAGGUAGGUGAGGAGAGAAUCCUAAGGCCGACGGGAGAAGCAUUGUUAAGGAACUCGGCAAAAUGACUCCGUAACUUCGGGAGAAGGAGUGCCAGUGAGAGCUGGCCGCAGAGAAUUGGCCCAAGCAACUGUUUAGCAAAAACACAGGUCUAUGCAAAACCGUAAGGUGAAGUAUAUGGGCUGACGCCUGCCCGGUGCUGGAAGGUUAAGGGGAGAGGUUAGCGCAAGCGAAGCUUUGAACUUAAGCCCCAGUAAACGGCGGCCGUAACUAUAACGGUCCUAAGGUAGCGAAAUUCCUUGUCGGGUAAGUUCCGACCCGCACGAAAGGCGUAAUGAUUUGGGCACUGUCUCAACAAUGCACCCGGUGAAAUUGAAAUACCAGUGAAGAUGCUGGUUACCUGCGCCAGGACGGAAAGACCCCAUGGAGCUUUACUCCAGCUUGAUACUGGGAUUCGAUAUUGUAUGUACAGGAUAGGUGGGAGGCGAAGAAGCAUUGACGCCAGUUGAUGCGGAGCCGCUGUUGGGAUACCACCCUUGCAGUAUUGGAUUUCUAACCAGCAGCCGUGACCCGGCUGGGGGACAAUGUCAGGUGGGGAGUUUGACUGGGGCGGUCGCCUCCGAAAGGGUAUCGGAGGCGCUCAAAGGUUCCCUCAGAAUGGUUGGAAACCAUUCGAAGAGUGCAAAGGCAGAAGGGAGCUUGACUGCGACACCGACGGGUGGAGCAGGUACGAAAGUAGGACUUAGUGAUCCGGUGGUAUAAAGUGGGAUUGCCAUCGCUCAACGGAUAAAAGCUACCCUGGGGAUAACAGGCUUAUCACUCCCAAGAGUUCACAUCGACGGAGUGGUUU